ACGCCCCAAAUCGGAAGUGACGGAGGCGAGCUAGCGCGUCGAAGAUAGCUCUAUGGUUUUCCUCCCGUUCUUCAGUCGGGAAAUGGCCGCUGUGUAGUUACAACGAAGAUAAGUCCCGGGAACCUUGCUUCGGCCUGUCAGGAAUUUGAAUUUAGAGUUUACUAUCUGAGAACAUAUUCUCCAGGAAGAAUUUUACAGUAUCUCGAAGACUUCACUUGAUUGCUCUAUCCUGCAUAAAACCCAAGGAGUAAAGAAAUGGGUCGCUCCAAUUCUAGAUCACAUUCUUCAAGAUCAAAGUCUAGAUCACAGUCUAGUUCUCGAUCAAGAUCAAGGUCACACUCUAGAAAGAAGAGAUACAGUUCUAGGUCUCGUUCCAGGACGUAUUCAAGAUCUCGUAGUAGAGAUCGUAUUUAUUCUAGAGAUUAUCGGCGAGAUUACAGAAAUAAUAGAGGAAUGAGACGACCUUAUGGGUACAGAGGAAGGGGUAGAGGGUAUUAUCAAGGUGGAGGAGGUAGAUAUCAUCGAGGUGGCUAUAGACCUGUCUGGAACAGAAGACACUCUAGGAGUCCUAGACGAGGUCGUUCACGUUCCAGAAGUCCAAAAAGAAGAUCAGUUUCUUCUCAAAGAUCCCGAAGCAGAUCUCGCCGGUCAUACAGAUCCUCUAGGUCUCCAAGAUCAUCCUCUUCUCGUUCUUCAUCCCCAUAUAGCAAAUCUCCUGUCUCUAAAAGACGAGGGUCUCAGGAAAAACAAACCAAAAAAUCUGAAGGGGAGCCCCAAGAAGAGAGUCCUUUGAAAAAUAAAUCACAGGAGGAACCGAAAGAUACAUUUGAACAUGACCCAUCUGAAUCUAUUGAUGAGUUUAAUAAAUCAUCAGCCACAUCUGGUGAUAUUUGGCCUGGCCUUUCAGCUUAUGAUAAUAGUCCUAGAUCACCCCAUAGUCCUUCACCAAUUGCUACGCCACCUAGUCAGAGUUCAUCUUGCUCUGAUGCGCCCAUGCUCAGUACAGUCCACUCUGCAAAAAACACCCCCUCUCAGCAUUCACAUUCCAUUCAGCAUAGUCCUGAAAGAUCUGGGUCUGGUUCUGUUGGAAAUGGAUCUAGUCGAUAUAGUCCUUCUCAGAAUAGUCCAAUUCAUCACAUCCCUUCACGAAGAAGCCCUGCAAAGACAAUCACACCACAGAAUGCUCCAAGAGAUGAGGCUAGGGGACGUUCUUCAUUUUAUCCUGAUGGUGGAGAUCAGGAAACUGCAAAGACAGGAAAAUUCUUAAAAAGGUUCACAGAUGAAGAGUCUAGAGUAUUCCUGCUUGAUAGGGGUAAUACCAGGGAUAAAGAGGCUCCAAAGGAGAAAGGAUCAGAGAAAGGAAGGGCAGAGGGAGAAUGGGAAGAUCAGGAAGCCCUAGAUUACUUCAGUGAUAAAGAGUCUGGAAAACAAAAGUUUAAUGAUUCAGAAGGGGAUGACACAGAGGAGACAGAAGAUUAUAGACAGUUCAGAAAGUCAGUCCUUGCAGAUCAGGGUAAAAAUUUUGCUACUACAUCUCACCGGAAUACUGAGGAGGAAGGAAACAAGUACAAGUCCAAAGUUUCACUGAAAGGCAAUAGAGAAAGUGAUGGAUUUAGAGAAGAAAAAAAUUAUAAACUUAAAGAGACUGGAUAUGUAGUGGAAAGGCCUAGCACUACAAAAGAUAAGCACAAGGAAGACGACAAAAAUUCUGAGAGAAUAACAGUAAAGAAAGAAACUCAGUCACCUGAGCAGGUAAAGUCUGAAAAGCUCAAAGACCUCUUUGAUUACAGUCCCCCUCUACACAAGAAUCUGGAUGCACGAGAAAAGUCUACCUUCAGGGAGGAGAGCCCACUUAGGAUUAAAAUGAUAGCCAGCGAUUCUCAUCGUCCUGAAGUCAAACUCAAAAUGGCCCCUGUUCCUCUUGAUGAUUCUAACAGACCUGCUUCCUUGACUAAAGACAGGCUACUUGCUAGUACACUUGUCCAUUCUGUCAAGAAGGAGCAAGAAUUCCGAUCCAUCUUUGACCACAUUAAGUUGCCUCAGGCCAGCAAGAGCACUUCAGAGUCAUUUAUUCAGCACAUUGUGUCCUUGGUUCAUCACGUUAAAGAGCAAUACUUCAAAUCACCUGCGAUGACCCUAAAUGAGAGGUUCACUUCCUAUCAGAAAGCCACUGAAGAACAUAGUACCCGCCAAAAGAGCCCUGAGAUACACAGGAGAAUUGACAUCUCUCCAAGUGCCCUGAGGAAGCAUACCCGAUUAGCAGGGGAAGAGAGAGUUUUCAAAGAAGAAAUUCAAAAGGGAGAUAAAAAAUUAAGGUGUGACUCAGCUGAUCUUCGGCAUGACAUUGAUCGUCGGAGAAAAGAAAGAAGCAAAGAACGGGGGGAUUCCAAGGGCUCCAGGGAAUCCAGUGGGUCAAGAAAGCAGGAAAAAACUCCAAAAGAUUACAAGGAAUACAAAUCUUACAAAGACGACAGCAAAAAUGUAUUUGUCUUUUACUCGGCUUAUGGUGGAUGAGGACAAAAACUUUGGAAUAGCAAGCUAACACUGAAAAAAAAAAAUGACAAAUUAAUGUGUCCUAUUAUCCAGGCUACAUCAGGAGGUUGGACUUCAAUGCAGUGCAUUUCUAGAAACAGUUUGUUAAACAUAAAAGUAGAGAGCAAGAUCAUUCUCGAUCUUCAUCCUCUUCAGCAUCACCUUCUUCUCCCAGUUCUAGAGAAGAAAAGGAGAGUAAGAAGGAAAGAGAAGAAGAAUUUAAAACUCACCAUGAACUAAAAGAAUACUCGGGCUUUGCAGGAGUUAGUCGACCACGAGGAACCUUUUUUCGAAUUAGAGGCAGAGGAAGAGCCAGAGGAGUUUUUGCUGGGACAAAUACUGGUCCAAACAACUCAAAUACUACUUUUCAAAAGAGACCGAAGGAAGAGGAAUGGGAUCCAGAAUAUACCCCAAAGAGCAAGAAGUACUUCUUGCAUGAUGACAGAGAUGAUGGUGUGGAUUAUUGGGCCAAAAGAGGAAGAGGUCGUGGUACUUUUCAACGUGGCAGAGGGCGCUUUAACUUCAAAAAGUCAGGUAGCAGUCCAAAAUGGACUCAUGACAAAUACCAAGGGGACGGGAUUGUUGAAGAUGAAGAAGAGACCAUGGAAAAUAAUGAAGAAAAGAAGGACAGGCGUAAAGAAGAAAAGGAAUAAUAAACCUGACAUGAGAUUGCAACAGAGAGCAGAACUUGCACCCACUUUUUUUUUACCUGAUUUUUGUUUUCAAAUAAGAAUGUAAGCAUUUUACUUAAAUUUUACUGUUUGCAAGUAGUCUAUAGAAGUUUUGUUUUAAGUCUUCAAAUAUCUUGAAAAAUAGUAGAUUGUAUGUUGAAAAUUGUACUGAAAUAAAGUAGAAAAUUGUUAAUGUACCCUAUUUGUAACUAUCAACUUUUAAAAAUAAUACUUUUACUGUUUUUGUUACAUGCAUUGUAAUUCUGCUUUGUCUAUAAGAUAUGGUCAAGUACAGCUCUGUGAAAGAUCUGAUUCUCUUCCCUCCCUGUUCGUUAAUGUUUAUGCUGAAGUAAACGUUAGCUCUACAUACAGAUUUCUGAAAAGAAGUUGUUUAUAGAGAUCACACCUAGUUAUUUUAACUAUACAUCUGUUUUAACAUUUUCCUUAAUUCAAACACACUACAUUGUAGGGUGACUAAUUUUUGAAGUGUACCCCAGAAAAAGUUGUUACUUUGGUAAACGUAAGCUAGUUUAACACUUCAGCAAAUGUUUAAGAAGAAAAACAGCUUUGCCAAGAACUAAGAAAUACAAACUCAUAAAAGUUAGAUUACAAAGUAUUAGUUUUUUUUUGUUGUUUGUUUUUUUUUGUUGUGUUUGUUUUGUUUUGUUUUUUUUUUUACUGAGAGCAAGCAGUGGCCUAUAAAAACCACACUUAGGAGCCUUUACUAUUUGGAUUCAAAAUUCAGUAUUCUAUUUUUAUUUGAAAGUAUGAGUCAUGGUCUUAGAUAGCAGCUAUUCUAUGAGAUAGGAAACUGGUUUGUAAUAAACAGCAAAUAAAAACCCCAUUCCUACCGAACAUUUUAUUUUUAACACAACAAAACCUGUAAUCGUGAUGUGGUAUGGAAGAGGAUUAUCCUGCAAAAUAAAGAUGUGUCUGAUUUGAUAUCUUACAUAUUUAUUUGAUCUUUUGGACAGUUGAAAUAUUAGUUUGUAGUCUAACCACAAAAAAUUGGCAAACAACGUACUGUUCAUUAGUUGUAUUUUAAGUAACUUGUUUUUCAAAUGUCAACAAUAAAAGUUUUGACAGGAAGUUUCGUUGCAGCAUUGAUCUAACUUGUUUUUACUUUUUUCCCCCCUAUUUCAGUUUGUAAAAUGGCCUUUUCUUUUUCUUUCCUAGGGUUCUAUUUUUUAGGUAGAUAAUCUUGAAAAUGUGAAUUACCUUUAUGCUUAUGCUGAUUGCUCUUAAAGGAAUGAAAAUCCGAAAUAGUAAAUUUCAAUGUUAAGUAUGUCUGCUUUAUGAGCAUAUAUAAAAGUAGUCAAAUUUCAUUAAUUCAGCAGUUGAAUUAGUUAUAUAUGUUUGCAUUAAAAGGAGAUGAUGCUUAUUCUGCUAGUGUAAUCUUUUAAAGAUCUUAAGUGUAUGGCCCUUUCAUUCUCAUUUGAUGAUUUGCAAUCCUCCUAGCACCUUGAUUGCAGCCAGGGUAAUUUGAAUUUGCUAAGAGCUAUUGGGUGGGUUGUGGGAGAGAGGGACCGAACCUCAAUAUGUGAUUUUUAUGGCCCUAAGAUCUUUAGUAUUGCGUGAUUUCUCCUGAUAAUUUUGUCUUUCUGAAAUUGUUACAGCAGAGGAAUACUGUCAAAGCAAGUAUGUGUGUUGGAUUGAUCAGAACAAAACUAAUACCCUUCCAGUUAGAAUAAUUAGUUGCUAAAGCAACAUGGAUUUGAUCUCCAACACAGGAGAAUUUUCACAACCAUUUUAUUUUAUACAAAUAAAUUUAGCUUUUAUUUUAACAGUUAUUUUGUUGAAUACUAAAUCUCUAUGCAUGAUUUUAAAUGUGCAGUUUUUCUUUUGCACUUAAGACAACAGGAAAAAGGGAAUUUGCUGAGAAAUUAUUUUAGGGAGUUGGGAAUAAAGCUACUAAGUCCUAUCAAAUUAUAUUUUAAGCAGUGCAGGUGCAUUGCUUUAACCCAGAUAUGUUUAGGAUUCCAUUACUUUAUUCUUUUAAAAUUGAGGAGAGAGCAUGCUACCAGUAGGAAGGAUGAUUGUGGAUGUUUUCUUUUUCAGAAAAAGUCAAGCAUAUAAAAAGUAGUCUGUGUAUUUUUAUUUUAAAUUGAUUUAGAGAGGAAAGGGUUGGGAGUGGGGUGGGGGAGGAGAGAAACAUUGAUCAGUUAGUUGCCUUCUGCAUGUGCCCUGACCAGGGAAUUGAACCUGAUGGGUAUGUGCCCUGAUAGGGAAUUGAACUUGCCACCUUGUGUACGGACAACACUCCAACCAACAGAGCCACAUCGGCCAGGGCUGUGUGUAUUUUAAAACCACAAUUUAAUUCCACACUUCCUGAUGUUAUAAAAGUUAAAUGGUUUCUCUUGGUAAGGAUAUAUGUUUGCAAGUGCCAGAAAAAUAAUGACUUGAUAUCUGCAUUAACAGAUUUCCUUUUGCCCAGAGAAAGAAAAUAAAACUCAACCAAAGGGUAUUUCCAGAACAGAUAGCUGUUUAAGAAGGCCAUGACUCAGUCUUUAGAUGUGUAUACCUUUCAACAUCUUAGAAUUUUAAUACAAAAAGCAAAAUAUGUUUUUCCAAUUACAGCCUACUCUAAGGAAUUACUAUUGUUCCCUUUUGUCACUGUUAAAAUCAAGUGUUGGGAAUUAUAGUUUGAGAUGAAAAUAUUACCCAAUAAGAAUGAAUGUAGAUGGCUCAACGAUUCUUACUCAGUGUGAUGUAUACUAGUAAUGCAACAGGGACUCUUGUAAAUUGUCAUAUGCCAAUAAAAAUGUCAUAAGUGGUAA